CCUACGGGUGGCUGCAGUGGGGAAUAUUGGGCAAUGGGCGCAAGCCUGACCCAGCAACGCCGCGUGAAGGAAGAAGGCUUUCGGGUUGUAAACUUCUUUUAAGAGGGAAGAGCAGAAGACGGUACCUCUUGAAUAAGCCACGGCUAACUACGUGCCAGCAGCCGCGGUAAUACGUAGGUGGCAAGCGUUGUCCGGAUUUACUGGGUGUAAAGGGCGUGUAGCCGGGCUGACAAGUCAGAUGUGAAAUCCCGUGGCUCAACCACGGAACUGCAUUUGAAACUGUCGGUCUUGAGUAUCGGAGAGGCAGGCGGAAUUCCUAGUGUAGCGGUGAAAUGCGUAGAUAUAAGGAGGAACACCAGUGGCGAAGGCGGUCUGCUGGACAGCAACUGACGGUGAGGCGCGAAAGCGUGGGGAGCAAACAGGAUUAGAUACCCGAGUAGUC
rnacentral:rRNA from 1 species